AGUGUCCCAAGCCCUGCAAUGGGAUGGGAUACGAAGUAUCCUGAAGAUUCCAUCCAACUCAUAUUGCGACACGUCCACGUCGUAAAGUGUGGUAACAUNNNNNNNNNNGGAUACGAAGUAUCCUGAAGAUUCCAUCCAACUCAUAUUGCGACACGUCCACGUCGUAAAGUGUGGUAACAUGGGCCUAAAUCCAAUCGCCAGGACAAAGGCUCAUGGCUAAGGAGGAAGGG
rnacentral:ribozyme from 1 species